rnacentral:rRNA from 1 species
AUUGAACGCUGGCGGAAUGCUUUACACAUGCAAGUCGAACGGCAGCACGGGUGCUUGCACCUGGUGGCGAGUGGCGAACGGGUGAGUAACAUAUCGGAACGUACCCAGUAAUGGGGGAUAACUAACCGAAAGGUUAGCUAAUACCGCAUACGCCCUGAGGGGGAAAGCGGGGGACCGUAAGGCCUCGCGUUAUUGGAGCGGCCGAUAUCUGAUUAGCUAGUUGGUAGGGUAAAGGCCUACCAAGGCGACGAUCAGUAGCAGGUCUGAGAGGAUGAUCUGCCACACUGGAACUGAGACACGGUCCAGACUCCUACGGGAGGCAGCAGUGGGAAUUUUGGACAAGUGGGGAAACCCUGAUCCAGCCAUUCCGCGUGAGUGAAGAAGGCC